rnacentral:lncRNA from 1 species
UGACAUGAAGAACUCAGUGGCUGCAGCAUACUCCUCAACUUACAGGAAACACAAAUCUAUGAUAUAGAGGUCCUGGUAACAUCUAAUUUACUUGCUGUCUCUUGGAAUUUUCCUAUUCUAGAUAUUUCGUCCUCUGUUACAGGUAGGAGUGACUGUGUGAUGCAAUUAUAGUCAAUGAGGUCAAUAGCAGAAGUCAGCUGGGUGAUUUCUGGAAAAUGCAUUCUUGAUAGAGGACCUGCUUCUACCUCUUCCCAUUUACAUCUUCCUGCCUAUAAUGUUGGUCUUAUAUUUAAUGGAAGAACGAAGUCUUGCAGCUAUGAAGAUGAAACUGAAUGUCAAGAGUAGUGUAGAAGAGAGAUAAAAGGAGGCUGAGUCCUGAGGACUGCCUCAAACAAGGGCAUGAACCCCUCAACUGUCUGCUUCUUGACCUCUUGUUCUGGCAGAAAAACCAACUCCCCAUAUUUUUGGAGUGAUGUUGCUGUCGUGUAGAGCCAAAUGCAUUUCUCUAAGUCUCAAUUUCUCAUCUGUAAAAUGAAGAUAAAAAAAUGCA